UCCCUGGCAGUCCAGUGGUUAGAACUCAGCACUUUCACUGCUGUGGGUCUGGGUUAGAUUCCUGGUCUGGGAU
rnacentral:tRNA from 1 species